rnacentral:rRNA from 1 species
GACGAACGCUGGCGGCGUGCUUAACACAUGCAAGUCGAACGAAGAGCGACGGAAGCUUGCUUCUAUCAAUCUUAGUGGCGAACGGGUGAGUAACGCGUAAUCAACCUGCCCUUCAGAGGGGGACAACAGUUGGAAACGACUGCUAAUACCGCAUACGAUCUAACCUCGGCAUCGAGGAUAGAUGAAAGGUGGCCUCUACAUGUAAGCUAUCACUGAAGGAGGGGAUUGCGUCUGAUUAGCUAGUUGGAGGGGUAACGGCCCACCAAGGCGAUGAUCAGUAGCCGGUCUGAGAGGAUGAACGGCCACAUUGGGACUGAGACACGGCCCAGACUCCUACGGGAGGCAGCAGUGGGGAAUCUUCUGCAAUAGACGAAAGUCUGACGGAGCAACGCCGCGUGAGUGAUGACGGCCUUCGGGUUGUAAAGCUCUGUUAAUCGGGACGAAAGGCCUUCUUGCGAAUAGUGAGAAGGAUUGACGGUACCGGAAUAGAAAGCCACGGCUAACUACGUG